rnacentral:rRNA from 1 species
CCUACUGGAGGCAGCAGUGGGGAAUAUUGGGCAAUGUGCGCAAGCCUGACCCAGCAACGCCGCGUGAAGGAAGAAGGCUUUCGGGUUGUACACUUCUUUUGUCAGGGACGAAUCAAGUGACGGUACCUGACGAAUAAGCCACGGCUAACUACGUGCCAGCAGCCGCGGUAAUACGUAGGUAGCAAGCUUUAUCCGGAUUUACUGGGUGUAAAGGGCGUGUAGGCGGGACUGCAAGUCAGAUGUGAAAACCACGGGCUCAACCUGUGGCCUGCAUUUGAAACUGUAGUUCUUGAGUACUGGAGUGGCAGACGGAAUUCCUAGUGUAGCGGUGAAAUUCGUAGAUAUUAGGAGGAACACCAGUGGCGAAGGCGGUCUGCUGGACAGCAACUGACGCUGAGGCGCGAAAGCGUGGGGAGCAAACAGGAUUAGAUACCCGUGUAGUC